rnacentral:rRNA from 1 species
CAUUCUCAGUUCGGAUUGUAGGCUGAAACUCGCCUACAUGAAGCUGGAGUUACUAGUAAUCGCAGAUCAGAAUGCUGCGGUGAAUGCGUUCCCGGGUCUUGUACACACCGCCCGUCACACCACGGAAGUUGGGGGCGCCCGAAGCCACUUAGCUAACCCAUUUGGGAAGCGAGUGUCGAAGGUGAAAUCAAUAACUGGGGUGAAGUCGUAACAAGGUAGC